rfam:Bombyx mori DNA, contig: Bm_scaf16_contig12345, strain: p50T/Dazao, build 2, whole genome shotgun sequence.
UUAACUCAAGUUUUUAUGGAGUUGAAACUUUUGCCUACGUUCGCCGCUAGGUACGCUGUUCCAACUGCAUACAAAUUUGAGUUA